rnacentral:rRNA from 1 species
GAUGAACGCCGGCGGCGUGCCUAAUACAUGCAAGUCGAGCGAACAGACGAGGAGCUUGCUCCUCUGAUGUUAGCGGCGGACGGGUGAGUAACACGUGGAUAACCUACCUAUAAGACUGGGAUAACUUCGGGAAACCGGAGCUAAUACCGGAUAACAUGUUGAACCGCAUGGUUCAACAGUGAAAGACGGUCUUGCUGUCACUUAUAGAUGGAUCCGCGCCGCAUUAGCUAGUUGGUAAGGUAACGGCUUACCAAGGCAACGAUGCGUAGCCGACCUGAGAGGGUGAUCGGCCACACUGGAACUGAGACACGGUCCAGACUCCUACGGGAGGCAGCAGUAGGGAAUCUUCCGCAAUGGGCGAAAGCCUGACGGAGCAACGCCGCGUGAGUGAAGAAGGUCUUCGGAUCGUAAAACUCUGUUAUUAGGGAAGAACAAAUGUGUAAGUAACUAUGCACGUCUUGACGGUACCUAAUCAGAAAGCCACGGCUAACUACGUG